GGCGUAAGAUAAAUCGUGGCCGCGAGUAUGGCGGCUGUGGUUGGAGUGGUGGCGUGAACUUUGGCACUGAGGGACGAGCUUGGUGAGCUUGGUGAGCUUGGUGAGCUUGGUGAGCUUUUCCAACCUGAAUGAUUCUAUGACCGAGCCUCCACGUGGUCACCAGUUUUACCUCAGGAUAGCUAUGAAGUUCAGGUAAACCAUCCAGGAUCGUCUCAGGUUAUGGAAGACUCACAAGGCA